CGGAUUGGAGUGAAACUUUUCUAAUCAAAACUAGGUAAAAAGUUUUAUUUUUUUUUGUUUUUUGAUAAAAAGUAUAAGGGAAAUUUGAAAGAAUAAUUAACGAAAAUUUAUAAAUUAAUAAAGUAACACAAAACAAAAAAAACAGCUAUAUUAUAUAUAAUAAUAUUAUAUUUAUCCCUCUCUUUCUAACUCACUCUAAGUCUUUCCCUCUUUCCACUUUCUCUCGUCUUUUAUUCUUUCUUCUCUCAAUCUCCUCUCUCUUUCUUUUUUCUCUUUCUUUAGCAUUUUAUUUGUAUCUCCACGUCACCUCACUUUCCUUUUUCUCAGAAUCUUCACACAUUUUGUUUUUCCUAACUAGUGAAAAUG
rnacentral:sRNA from 1 species